rnacentral:rRNA from 1 species
GACGAACGCUGGCGUCGUGCUUAACACAUGCAAGUCGAACGGAAAGGCCCUGCUUUUGUGGUGUGCUCGAGUGGCUAACGGGUGCGUAACACGUGAGUAACCUGCCCUUGACUUUGGGAUAACUUCAGGAAACUGUGGCUACUACCGGAUAGGAGCUCCUGCUGCAUGGUGGGGUUUGGAAAGUUUCGGCGGUUGGGGAUGGACUCGCGGCUUAUCAGCUUGUUGGUGGGGUAGUGGCUUACCAAGGCUUUGACGGGUAGCCGGCCUGAGAGGGUGGCCGGGCACAUUGGGACUGAGAUACGGCCCAGAGUCCUACGGGAGGCAGAAGUGGGGAAUAUUGCACAAUGGGCGGAAGCCUGAUGCAGCAACGCCGCGUGCGGGAUGACGGCCUUCGGGUUGUAAACCGCUUUCGCCUGUGACGAAGCGUGAGUGACGGUAAUGGGUAAAGAAGCACCGGCUAACUACGUG